GACGAACGCUGGCGGCAUGCCUAAUACAUGCAAGUCGAACGCUGAAGCACUCUGCUUGCAGAGUGCGGAUGAGUGGCGAACGGGUGAGUAACACGUGGGAAAUCUGCCUAUAAGAGGGGGAUAACAUUCGGAAACGGAUGCUAAUACCGCAUAUAUUCUUCGACCGCCUGGUCCUUGAAAGAAAGACGGCUUUGCUGUCGCUUUUAGAUGAUCCCGCGGCGUAUUAGUUAGUUGGUGGGGUAAAGGCCUACCAAGACAAUGAUACGUAGCCGACCUGAGAGGGUGAUCGGCCACACUGGGACUGAGACACGGCCCAGACUCCUACGGGAGGCAGCAGUAGGGAAUCUUCCACAAUGGGCGAAAGCCUGAUGGAGCAAUGCCGCGUGAAUGAAGAAGGUCUUCGGAUCGUAAAGUUCUGUUAUUAGAGAAGAACAAGUCAAGGAGUAACUGUCUUGACUUUGACGUUACCUAACCAGAAAGUCACGGCUAACUACGUG
rnacentral:rRNA from 1 species